rnacentral:lncRNA from 1 species
ACGACAAUAUAAAUCAGUCUCAUAUUAGAUACUAAUUAGCGACUAUCGUAUUUUGGUUCAUAUUUAGUCGCCAAAACGUAGCUAAACGGUCACUAGCUGUAGCGACUGCAAAAUUAGUCGCCGAAUUAAGUCGCUAAUCCCAUGUUUUCUUGUAGAAGCUUGUUUGCAGAAGCUAUGGUUCGUGAAGUUGACGACACUUUUGGCUCGGGGAUAGACAAAUUGAAAGAGACAAUCGCGAACCAAAAUGAAAAGAUCGAUACACGAAUUAUUGCUUUGCUCUCGUUGUUGCGAUCAUGGAGCACGGAGGAGGAGAAUCCGCAAAUAGAUGCUUUUCCAGCCUCGCCACAACUUCCAGACUCACCGAAUUUCAAUCGUCCAGAUCCGAAACCAAGCUAUGUUAUCAACGUUAAUCCAAAGAUUCCAAAAGCUUCAUCGUCGUCAACUCGCAGAUACAAGCCUCAUCAGAGAAUCUCGUUGGAAGAGAUUAACGAGAGAAGGUUGAAGGGGUUAUGUGUGUUUUGCGAACAGCCAGAAACUCCAGAUCAUCAUAUCAAACACAAGAAUACAGGGAUUCUCAUGAUUGAUGGUGAUGAAGAUCAAACCCCUAAUUGUGAAUUUGGUGAAUCAAUUGAGCAUUGUACGGUGAGUUUGUUGUCUACAGCUCAAGAUGAGAAGCCAAAUUUGGAGAAUCAUGAAAAUUUGGUACAUGAAACGAUCUUGGAGGGAGAAUCAAUUCCAAAAUUUCAGGUACCAAUUUCAGAUUCUAAGAGUUUGAGGAAUAUUGAACUUAGGGAAGAAAAUUCAAAGUUGGAAACUCUAGAGUAUGUAGUGAUGAAUGAGAAUGAGAAUCUAGAGCAAGAAAGAGUUCAAAAGAACGUUAAUAAGAGAUUUGAGGUUGAAGGUGAUGUUGAGAGGAGUCAAAAAUUGAUAAGCAACACCAAGAAUUGCUCUGCACACCAGCUGUUCGAUAAAAUGUCUCAAUAUAAAGAAAGACUAGGAAUUGAGAAGAAAAGGAAAGGGUUUAAAUCACGGAUGUUUAAGUAUAAGAGUGGCUUCAGGAAACUGCACGCACUAACUUUUUCCAAGAGUAUGAGAAUGAUUGAGACAUCUAGUGAUUUGUUGUUGUUGAAUGGGAAGGAUAGUCCAGCACGGACUGCAAUGGGAUUCAAAUUAGAAGCAGGUGAAAUAACAUCAUCGAAUCAAGAGAGACUUGAGUUGUGUACAGCGAACAACGGCUACUUGGAAUCAUCGAAUCUAGAGCUGGUUCUGAUGAAAGAAGAACUAGAAUCUGUGAAAGUAAAUGGAGUGAAGUUAUGGACACAGAGCUGCAAUUUGAAAUCUGAUUUGAUUCAAGCCAAGAUGAUUGUGAAAAAGACGAAUUCGCUACGUAACGAUGAGUCAGUCUGUGCUAUUGAGGAUUUCUCAUCGGCAGUUUUGGAAAACAAUCAAUCCCAACUAUAUUGUGAUGCCUUUAACUCUGGUGGCGUUUUCAGGUUCUGGAAAUUCACAUGUUCUGAUAUGAUUCCAUUGGGAGAAACAGUGCUGACAAAGGGACAAAAGAAAACGUUUUACAAGUUGAAGAGAUUCAAGUUCAAACAUAGAGUAGCAUCAAGAGAUUUCAAAUCUGGUUUGGAAGUCAGAGGAAAGCAAACUGCAAUGUGGCAACGGAAAGCAAAGAAAGAGUACCUGUGUUUGUUCUGGACCAACAAUGUGGCAGCAUGUGAUCAUAUUUUGUUCGUUGGUGAGAUGAAAAUCAAUGGCUACAAGCUGUGUCUUGUAAGAAAUAAGAAGCAGCAGAGAAAGCCACCCAAGUAUCCCACGACAUGGAAAUUAAGGUUCAAAAACAUGAAUUUGCAGAGAACUAUGAUACACUUGGAUACACAACUAUUAAUUUUCAGAUGGGACAGCAUGUAUAUUCGUCACUUUACGACAUUUGAGCAUCACUUGGAGGAUUCACAUCCACAAUCUGGUUUUGAUGUUAAAGGGGAUGUCAAGUACAAAUAUUCUCGUUCAAGUGCUAAAGUUGCAUUGAUGAAGAUGAAUAAGUUCUCCAAAACUUGGUUCAUGCUCAAAGGUGACUGUUUCAAGGAAGACAGUCACAUCCGAGUUUGGGAUCCUGGAGGUUCAAUUUUCAGGAAUUUCUCUUUUAAGCUGAAGUUGUGGUUCUUGUUAAGUGGUCACACCAACCAGAGGAAGAAGCUACAUGGGAGUUUUUAUAUGAUCUUCUCAGGAAAUUUCCAACCUUUGAACCUUGUGGUCAAGGUUCUUCAGACCAGGGAGCUUUGAUAUAGUAAAUUGAGAGUUGGGAGAAGAUGACGUGGCUGUGGUAAAAUGAGUAGUCAUCUCAGUAACGUGGAGCUUUCUAAUUGGAUCAAGAUGGUGGCUUAUGAUUGGAAGAUCAAAAUAGUUUGUUACAAGGAAGGAACGAGGAAGCUGGAGGCUAUAAGAAGACAAAUACUUUUACACUUUUGAUUAUCAAAAAUCUUGUGAACAUUUUUCAUUUUCAAUUUCUCUUGUGCUCGCUGAUUCUUGGAGCUUGUUGCUUCCAUCGAUCGGUGAGUUUCAGAUUCUCGUUUUAUGAACGUCAGUCUGUAGUUUCUGGGUUGAUUUCUAAUAAAACUCUGAAUUUCUACAACAGAGAAACAUCCAAGCAGAUAGAGAACAUAUAUAGGAUAUAUAAGAUAUAUAAUGUUUAGCUAAAAAACUCUGAAAGGGUUCAAAAAAAGACACAUGUUACGAUUCAUGAUUUGCCCCUGAAUUUAAAAACGUAUUUAAUGUGUUUUGAGUAUAUCCUAGGGUUUAGUUCAAAAAAAAAAAAAAAAAAAAGUAUAUCCUAGGGUUUAUAGUAGCCAAAAAAAGCAAAUAAAUAAAUUCAUGAUAAAAUAGAAAAUAUAGUUAGAUAAUAGAAUAAAUUUUCGCAAGAUGAAACAAACCUUAAUAUCUUUUGGAGAUUUUAUUAAUUAAAUAUUUUGUUUUUAUUUCAUGCACCAAUUCACGAUGUUUCCAUAAACACCAACCUGCAAAUUCAUACACAAACACCAUUAAAGAUGAGGAUCGAUCCACUAACAUAACUAAAAAGACAUGAACUUAAAAGACUAUUUUACCUUUUUGUUUUGGUAUUUUUCUUACUCUUCAUCAUCUUUUUCAAUACUUUCGGUGAAGAUUAACCUACAAAAAU